UUUUAUUGUUUGAGUAGUUUUUACGAUACACUAAUUUUAAAAGUUUGCCACAAAAGUUGUUUCUUUGACAUUGAUGCAAAUAUACUAAAAAACACUGAUUACUUUACAAAGUUCCUAAAAUCAAUGUUACUAGCACUUCAGUAAACAUUACAGAAUAUUUCAAAUGUGAGAAUCGUAUGGUCCGUCAGUAAUCGUCUACAGGACACUAUAUGGUACCUUUGGGAUACUAUUCUUUAAGCAAAUACAAACAAAUAUAUCUUUAAGUUUCACGUUUUCGAUUUCUAUGCGAUAGUAUUAUCAAGUGCAAUAUUCAAGUGUCGUUUACUAGAUAUAACCUUCAACUUUUAGUGUCACCCUCUACCCUCGUUCACGAGCCGUUAUUAAACUGAUUAAACGAGGCGUUGACCGCUAAAAUCAGUCAUCUAUUCAUUUGACCAUGACGUUGUUAUUGUAAUUAUGAAGGAUAAAUAUUGACAUGGGUAUCACAUCUACCCGUCUUGCCUGUAGUCGUUAUAUUCCAGUCACAGACUCGUCAAAAGGAAAAUAGAACAACACCUCGACAUGACACGUGAUUAUCGUCAGAGAUUUUCCACGCCAACAGGUGGCCCGUAGACAUAAUUGCGACGUGGUCGACCCUUUAUGGUUAUGCGUACGUUCCAUUUAUUCACAUGUGCUUAUGAUGAAUUUUGACGUGUAAUAUCUCAUAGGAAAACACAAAACGAAUUUCGAAACAGAACGGUAUUGUGUUGACUAACGUCACAGGGAGAGCCUCAAGCCCUAGUGAAAAACGUCCCAAGACAUUGUUGAUGUCAUAAUAGAAGUUCAAAUUGAAUUACUUUUUGUAUAAGUAUCAACCGGGUCAAGAGUAGUCACGUAUUACAUUUUAUUCGAGUGUUCUUAACAAUAGUUUUGUUCUAUGUAUUUAUAGCCCAAACUAAAUAUAGCUGCUAAACUAAAUUAUUGACAUUCAAUAUUCACUGAAAGCUUAGAUUUUGUAAGGUGUAGUUUGUUAGUCUCGAGUUUGUAGUAUUUGAAAUACAAAUAGCUACAAAACCACAGGAAUAUAAUAAUAUACAGUUACUUGUCUAACACGUUGAAUAUUAGCUUUUAUAAAAUGAACAGUUUGAUUUUUAGAAACUAAAUUAAAAAUGAAUUUAUUAUUUUUCCCAUAUCCCCUACCCACUC